GAGUUUUUGCCCUGAACAAGCUCAGAAGCACUAUAGAUAUUGUAAAAACCAAUCACGAUGCUGAAAAGUUCAACAUUAUUGUAAAGGGCUGAGGUAAUAUCACAAAAUAUAAAUCAAACUUAGUGAUGGUUGCAAUGUUUCACAAUAAUAGAUCUUCUUAAAAGGAAGAUAUAUAUCUUACCUAACUUUGUUCCCAUCAGUCUGAAAGGAAUCAGGCUUGGAUCCAAGUUUCAUAAACUUCAUCGCGGCAACUCAACAGUGUAUUUGUCUUCUGGUACGUCAGAACUUAUACUUCAAACUUCCCAAUUAAUCACACAAAUAUGUACUGCCCCAGAUUGAACUGUGGACAUCCCAAAUUACCAAACAAAACUAAAAUCGAGGAAAUGGUCUGGAGACCAAAAAUUUCUGAAUAUAACCAAUUUUCACAACUUCAAAGGGAAGGAAAUGGGAUCUCAAAUAGGAAAGUAUAUAUUCUUCGAACGAUGGAAUCUUGACAGCAACCAAACCAAGCAAUUUUAGGAGAGAGGAAAAAAGCAGAAAUGAUUUUUGUACAAAUCUUCAGUUUAAACGAAUGAUGGCUUCUAAUAAAUGGGAAGAGAACAACAGAGAGGUUGUUUUCUUGGUCGGUGGCAAAGCCCGCGGAUUCAGGGCGAGCCUAGUCAGCCCAGUAGACACACCCAACAGACUCUCAUUAGCACCAUUGUGACUCCACUCCACCACCCCCUCUAUUUCUUUAUCUUUCUUUCUCACUCUCACUCUGUUUCUUUACUCAGCUUUCUCUGCUUCUUUAAUUAUUUCUUCUGCACCAAAUAUCGAUACAUAUGCUAUAGAUUCAGAACACCAGAAACAACCUCAGGUCUCCUAAAAGUUUCAAGUUCCAAACCGCAUAAAGAAAUAGGAAAUACAUCAAGCAUGUGGUGUGCAAAAAAUUUAGCAGCCUUAGUUUGAAAAACCUGCUCGAUAUCAGUUGAAUCAACCAGACAACUACCAAAUAUAUUGCUUAAUUAGUAACAUCAAAC
rnacentral:lncRNA from 1 species